GAGCUAACCCAAACAUUUUCCUUUCCUUGUUUCAGAAUGGUUUAGUCUUCAUCUCUCCUGGGGCUUAAGAUGAUGAGCUCAUCAAGUCUCCAUAACAAGUGUGGAGAAUAGCCAAGAGGAAGAAAGGGUACAGAGCAGAAAACAAACUGCAGCUACCAAAGGAAAUAUGUUUAGAUACGUUUUCUACUACAAGCUCUCCCCCUCUCCCAUGCCUUACCAAGUAUCCAUGAGACUGUCAUCCUGUGACUCAUUGAGUGAAGACAUAAUUGAAGCAAAGGCAGAGUUUGUGAAGAUGUUUCCAGCUGUGACAGAUGCACUUGACCUCUAACCAAACGAGCAGAUGUUUGGUAGAAGCUCCAAAGAAGACCCCCUCAGAGAAAAUGAAUGAGCAAACAAAAGCUCCAAGAGAAGAAGGGGAACGUAUAUUUAAGGCCUUUAGUGGGUUAAGUAUCUUUACAGAAUUUUAAAGUAUGCCCUGAAAUGAGCUAUUGAAAUGGUGGCAUAUGUCUUGAAACACAUUUCUAAGGAGAUUGGGGAGUGCAGUUGUAUAGACCUGUAUAGUUCUGUAGGAGCCCAGGUUUUUUAAAUUUAAACCAGAGCAUGCUUAGACAUUGAAACUCUGCAACUCUUUUGUAAAAGCAGAAAGUUUCAGAGACAAAAUAUAUCUUAUAAACAAAUACAUUAACUGAAAAUCUGGAUAAAUAAGCCCAUUACAGACAUUGUUUUAAAGUUCCAUAUUUUCAAAGGGGUUGGACUAGAUGAACUCCUAGGAUUUUUUCAAUUGAAAUUUCUCAGUAAUUUUGUGAAAUGCAUUUGGCCUUUUGUCACUGAAAGAUAAAAUCCUGCAUCAAUAUUUAUGGCUCAGCAGUGUAAAUUUUCUCUAAAAUCACAUAUCCAAAUCAUAAUUUGAAGAGCUGAUAAUCAGAUGUCCUCCAUCUUCAGUAUGAGAUACAGCUAAAGCAUGUUUUCUCAUUUCUUCCAUCAGCUAUAGGUAAUUGUUGCUGUCACCUCUCUGCUAAAGACACCACUUUGUCACCCCUCAUAUCUAUGUUGGUUUUCCUGCUUAAUGUUCUGUAAGCCUCACAGCAACAUAUUACAUUUAUUUAGUUUAUUUUACUUCUACUGGCUUUGUAUUGUUAUUAUUAUUGUUGUUAUUAUUGUUAUUAUUACUACUACUACUAUUAUUAUUAUUUUAUAAAUUUAUGUUCAUAGAUCGUAUUCUGCUUCCUUUAGCCUUUUAAAGUUGCAAGGAAGUGUUUCAUYUUCAGGCAUGGAGGAGCAAAAACAAAUCUUCCGUCAGAGGUCAAUGACACUAGGUUUAUUUCCAUCUCCAUGACUAAAUGAAAUCCUGAUUCUUUGAUGACAGUGAAACUUGUGCUACCAAGUAAAAUAAUUCUGUCAUUUCACUGUCUUAUUUCCAUAUUGCUGUUUUGCUAGAAAAAGUAAAGUCUCUUACCUUUUUGU